CCCAAACAGUCCCCAAAUGACCCCAAAACGACCCCAAACCCCCCCAAAUUAAUCCCAAAAUCCCCCCGACCCCAAAAUGGCCCCAAAUGGCCCCCAAAUGACCCCAAAAUGGUCCCCAAAUGACCCCAAAACGGCCCCCAAGCCCCCCACAAUCACCCCAAAAUCCCACAGACCCCAAAAUGGCCCCAAAUGGCCCCCAAAUGACCCCAAAAGGCCCCCAAUGACCCCAAAAGGACCCCCAAUGACCCCAAAAUGCCCGCAGUGACCCCAAAGGGCCCGCAAUGACCCCAAAGGGCCCGCAGUGACCCCAAAAGGGCCCCCAAUGACCCCAAAAGGCCCCCAAUGACCCCAAAGGGCCCCCAAUGACCCCAAAAGGCCCCCAAUGACCCCAAAGGGCCCGCAGUGACCCCAAAGGCCCGCAGUGACCCCAAAGGGCCCGCAGUGACCCCAAAAGGCCCCCAAUGACCCCAAAGGGCCCGCAGUGACCCCAAAAGGCCCCCAAUGACCCCAAAAGGCCCCAAUGACCCCAAAAGGCCCCCAGUGACCCCAAAGGGCCCGCAGUGACCCCAAAAGGCCCCCAAUGACCCCAAAAGGCCCCCAAUGACCCCAAAAGGCCCCAAUGACCCCAAAAGGCCCCCCCACCUCCUCCUUCUUGUAGGGCGCCUCCAGCAUCGCCUCGAUGACGAUAUCGAAGUCGUCCGACGUCAUCGCGUCCGUCUGCGGAGACAAAAACCCCACAGCCACCCCAUAGCCACCCCAUAGCGACCCCAUAGGGACCCACACGGACCCACAGGGACCAUACGGGCCCAUAGCAAACAUACAGACCCAUAGCAACACAUACAGACCCCAUAGAAACCAUACAGACCCCAUAGGGAACAUACACACCUCAUAAGGACACAUAAACAUCAGAGACCCCAUAGAGACCCCAUACAGACCGCAUGGCCCCAUAGCCACCCCAUAGCCACUCCAUAGCGACCCAUAGCGACCCCACAGUGACCCAUAGGGACCCACAGGGACCCACACGGACCCAUAGCAACACAUACAGACCCAUAGCAACACAUACAGACCCCAUAGAGAACAUACAGACCUCAUAAGGACCCAUAAAUACCAGAGACCCCAUAGAGACCCCAUACAGACCACAUGGCCCCAUAGCCACCCCACAGUGACCCAUAGCGACCCCACAGGGACCCAUAGCGACCCCACAGGGACCCAUAGCGACCCACACGGACACACACGGACCCAUAGCAACACAUACAGACCCACAGCAACACAUACAGACCCCAUAGGAACCAUACAGACCCCAUAGGGAACAUAGACACCUCAUAAGGACCCAUAAAUACCAGAGACCCCAUAGAGACCCCAUACAGACCACAUGACCCCAUAGCCACCCCAUAGCCACCCCACAGUGACCCAUAGCGACCCACAGUGACCCAUAGGGACCCACAGGGACCCAUAGGGACCCACACGGACCCACAGGGACCAUACGGGCCCAUAGCAACACACACAAACCCAUAGCAAACACAGAAACCCCAUAGCGACCCAUAAACGUGACAACCACCCCAUACAGACUACAUGGCCCCAUAGGGACCCAUAGGGGCCCACGAACACCAUAAGGACCCAUAGCGACCCAUAGAACCCCAUAGGAACCAUAGAGACCCCAUAGCGACCCAUAGGGACCCAUAAACACUCAUAAACAUCAUAAAGAUCCCAUACAGACCCCAUACAGACUAUAUGGACCCAUAGGGACCCCAUAGGGCCCAUAGGAACCCACAGACGCUAUAGGGACCCACAACAACCCAUAGAGACCCAUAGCAACCAUAGAGACCCCAUAGCAACCAUAGAAACCCCAUAGCAACCAUAGAGACCCCACAGCGACCCAUAGGGACCCAUAGACACCCAUAGAGACCCCAUAAAGACCCCAUACGGACUAUAUGACCCCAUAGGGACCCACAGGGACCCACAGAGGCCAUACGGACCCAUAGCGACCCACAGAGACCCAUAAACAUCAUAGAGAUCCCAUACAGACCCCGUACAGACCCAAUACAGACCGCAUGGCCCCAUAGGGACCCCAUAGGGACCCACAGCAACCCAUAGAGACCCAUAAGGACCAUAGAAACCCCAUAGUGACCCAUAGGAACCCGCAAACACCCAUAAACAUCAUAGAGACCCCAUAGAGACCCCACAGAGACCCCACAGGAACCCCUAUGAAGCGCAGAGACCCCACGGGGACCCCAUAGGAACCCCAUAGGGACCCACAGCGCCCCACACCGCCUUCACAACACCCCACAAUGUAUCCACAGCGCCCCAUAACCCCCAUAAAGCCCCAUAAAGCCCCAUAACCCCCAUAAGGCCCCAU
rnacentral:lncRNA from 1 species